AAUAGAUUAAAGAAGAUCGAUGAAAAGAAAUUAACAAGAGUGUGUGAAUAGCACUAGGCAUUUGAUGGUUUGAAGAAAUUCAACCUCCCUAAAUGUUGCUUGCAUUUUUUUGUUUUUUGUUUUUUGUUUUGGGUCAACUUUUGCAAAUUUACUAAGUUACUUUGGUCACGACGAAACCACCAAAUAAUCUCAUUUCUCAAUUUUCGACAUCAGGCCGAAUGGAAUAAAGAAGAUCGAUGAAAAGAAAUUAACAAGAGUGUGUGAAUAGCACUAGGCAUCUGAUGGUUUGAAGAAAUUCAACCUCCCUAAAUGUUGCUUGCAUUUUUUUUUGUUUUUUUUUUGGGUCAACUUUUGCAUAUUUACAAAAUUACUUUGGUCACGACAAAACCACCUAAUAAUUUCUUUGGAGACCUUUUUAAGUAUAUCCAAAAUACUUUUUUAAAUGGUGUAUUAAUUUUUUUUUAAAAUAUUGUAUUAAUUCACGUGUUAUGAUAUAAGCAGGGACAUACAAUUUUAUGACAUAUUAGUAAAAAAAUAAAUAUAUUAAAUGGUGUAUUAAUUUCUUUUAAAAAUAUUGUAUUAAUCCACGUCUUAUAAUAUAAGUAGAGACAUACAAUUUUAUAACAUAUUAGUAAAAAAAUAAAUAUAUAACUAAUUUCAAAGUGCAGAACUUUAAAAUGUCACUGUAAAUUUCUAACAUAUUUUAAAAUGUAGCUUAUUAAGAUUCAUCCGCCCACUAAAAUUCGUGUCGUGCCGUGUUGGACUGGUUUUAAAUUGGCCAUAUUCGGGCCUACCCAAUAAACCAAUUUGGGACCCCACAGAAAAAACAAAAACUAUAGUGGAGCAACCGCUGAAGUUCAUGGAAUCCUGGGGUAAGUUUGUGAUUAACCCUUUUUCGACCCACUUUUCUGAAAAACAGAAAAGUUUUACUUUAGAAUUUUGAAUCAAUCGAGGAAGUGGAAUAAAAUAUUUGGGGUAGAUUUUAACCAAAAAAAUAUAUGUGGGGUAAAUUUUAAAUUACUGUUGAAUUGACAAUUGAAGUUCGUCCGUGCGCGCUUGGUUGUUGGGCACAUGAUCAGUCCUGCUCCAAUCAACUCGACGGCGGUCGGCGGAGGAUCCAUAGACUCUAUUCCCCUAAGCCAAAAGAUUCAGGCUUCAGCAGCUGAGAACCCAACGGAAACUCAGACCCACCCGCGCAACCGCCCGACCCGACCCAAACCGGGUUCUAUCUAAGAUUCAGAGAUCCACCGCCGAGAAGCAACAACCGCCGACCCAUCAGACCCAUCACGCCUCCUCCUCCUCCGGCUUUCUCCACUGGGAAAUUGGCGAAAACGAUCAGAAAUCGUCAAAUCCCAAUUGCUGAAUCGAUCAAAAUUAAAUAUCGACGAGAUAUGGACGGAAUAUGGAUGACAUAGCGAUGAGAAUAGGAAGACAUACCCAAAAACUGAUCAUUUCAGCAAUUAGGAGUUAAGCGGUAGAAACUAAUCCAAAUCCAAACUAUAGUGUAAAGUAGAUUUGGUUUGGUUUUUUGGGAUGCUUAAUUUCAAUUCUGCACCAAAAGUUUAAAUUUUGCAUCCAUUAUUCAAUACUAGCUCAAUAAUCAUAAUGUCUCCCUACA